rnacentral:rRNA from 1 species
AGAGUUGAUCCUGGCUUAGAACGAACGCUGGCGGCGUGCUUAACACAUGCAAGUCGAGCGAUUACUUCGGUAAAGAGCGGCGGACGGGUGAGUAACGCGUGGGUAACCUGCCUCAUACACAUGGAUAACAUACCGAAAGGUAUGCUAAUACAGGAUAAUAUAAGAGAUUCACAUGGAUUUCUUAUCAAAGCUCCGGCGGUAUGAGAUGGACCCGCGUCUGAUUAGCUAGUUGGUAAGGUAAUGGCUUACCAAGGCGACGAUCAGUAGCCGACCUGAGAGGGUAAUCGGCCACAUUGGAACUGAGACACGGUCCAAACUCCUACGGGAGGCAGCAGUGGGGAAUAUUGCACAAUGGGCGAAAGCCUGAUGCAGCAACGCCGCGUGAGUGAUGAAGGCCUUCGGGUCGUAAAACUCUGUCCUCAAGGAAGAUAAUGACGGUACUUGAGGAGGAAGCCCCGGCUAACUACGUGCCAGCCGCCGC